CGCGUAGGCGGACAGUUUAGUCGGGGGUGAAAUCCCAGGGCUCAACCCUGGAACUGCCUUCGAUACUGGCUGUCUUGAGUUCGGGAGAGGUGAGUGGAAUGCCGAGUGUAGAGGUGAAAUUCGUAGAUAUUCGGCGGAACACCAGUGGCGAAGGCGACUCACUGGCCCGAUACUGACGCUGAUGCGCGAAAGCGUGGGAGCAAACAGGAUUAGAUACCCUGGUAGUCCACGCUGUAAACGAUGAGUGCUAGUUGUCGGCAUGCAUGCAUGUCGGUGACGCAGCUAACGCAUUAAGCACUCCGCCUGGGGAGUACGGUCGCAAGAUUAAA
rnacentral:rRNA from 1 species